rnacentral:rRNA from 1 species
ACGCUCGACACCUACGGGAGCAGCAGUGGGGAAUAUUGCACAAUGGGGGAAACCCUGAUGCAGCGACGCCGCGUGAGUGAAGAAGUAUUUCGGUAUGUAAAGCUCUAUCAGCAGGGAAGAAAAUGACGGUACCUGAGUAAGAAGCCCCGGCUAACUACGUGCCAGCAGCCACGGUAAUCUGAGCGGGCUGGCAAGGC